AAUUAAUGAGCUUGAUUUUAAGCAUAUGUUUUGAAAACAUAAUAUAGAAUAAAAAUUUCUAUUAAUUU
rnacentral:tRNA from 1 species